rnacentral:rRNA from 1 species
UACGUAGGGUGCGAGCGUUGUCCGGAAUUAUUGGGCGUAAAGAGCUCGUAGGCGGCCUGCUAAGUCGGACGUGAAAUCCCCAGGCUCAACCUGGGAACUGCGUCCGAUACUGGAUGGCUUGAAUUCGGGGAGAGGGAUGCAGAAUUCCAGGUGUAGCGGUGAAAUGCGUAGAUAUCUGGAGGAAUACCGGUGGCGAAGGCGGCAUCCUGGACCGACAUUGACGCUGAGGAGCGAAAGCUAGGGG